GGGAGGGGAUUGGGUGGCCUGUAAUCUUGACAGCCCACACUCCUUUGGGAGCCUCCCUCAGCUCCUCAGCUUUACAGAACCCUGUUUCCUGGUGGCACGGGGUGAGUGGGUGGGUGAAUCUGACAGUACCCUGGCAACAGCCUUCAGGAGAAGAAGGUUCCGCUUGCCAGGAGCUCCCUACAGUUCUGUGGAUCGGUGACAGCAGAGGCUAAGACCCCUUUCCCUUUGCUACUUUCUCAGUUCCUCUCCCAGAACCUGGAGUUUGUCCCCAGAGCUUCGAGUUGAAGCCCUGGAAAGUGCCUGUCCUUGGCUGGACAGAGAGGGCCAUUGGAGCCAUGUGUGGGGUUCAUUCCCUGUGGACUUCUUACAGGCUUCACAGCCCCUGAGCUCCAGGCUUGUCUGGAACUGAGCAGAUGCAGCCGCUUGGGCUCUGUGCUUCCAGAGUCCAGUACUCCAUGGGCAAUCAGGAGGCCCUUAACCUAAUCUCAUUUCAGGGCUGAGCUGUGGCUGUUUGGGUUGAGGGAAGCCCUCAUGCCUGAGACAGUCGCUUUGGGGGUCUCAUCACGGUACUAACACAGUGAGUCAUGUUCUGACACACCAGUAUAUUCUGUAUUUGAGCUUCUAGUGAGGCAUUUUUAAUUAUAAAAUACGUCACCAGGACAGAAACAAACAGUGUCCGUUAAGUGUUCGUGAGGCCUGGAGCACAUGGGACACAGUGGUUCCAGUGAACACAAGUAAGCCAGUUUUCACAUUAGAGAAAUAACAGUUCUGGUAGAAAUGCAGCACUUUUAAAAGAGGUUAAUUAAUAAACAGCAGGUAAUUGCUCGUGGCACGAUGUGGCAGAGAGUAAUUUUCAUUUUUGAGGGUGGAAGGACCAGAUGCCCCUCCCUCCCCACUCAGCAUUUCUCUGUAAUAAUCACCUUGGCUUCCCUUCCGCCUUUAAUUUUUACAGCUGGAGCUGUUUAUCAUCGCUCCAACUUUCACUAAAAAAGGCAAAGCUAUCACUUAAACAAAGCUAUUGAAAACUCAGCAUCAUAUGUGGGUUUCUUAACAUAAAUAAAUCAUACAAACCAAGAUUUAUGUUCAAGGAAUGAUGUCAUUCAUUGAAGGCUGCCUUCUCAAUCAGAUCAGUCUCUGUGUGUGUGUGUGUGUGAGAGAGAGAGAGAGAGAGAGAGAGAGAGAGAGAGAGAGAGAGAGAGAACAACUUCUCUAGCACCCUGGAUGUUCUUCUCUGUCUCAGGUCAUCGAGAUGAUCGUGCCUUGUGUCAGCCCAGCAGAAGCAGGCCUAAGUGGCAAGAGCAUUCUUCUCCUGCAGCUGAGGAAGAAAGCUGGGCUUGCCCAAAGAGCACAGUAAGCUCUUGCUGUUGGUCAUGGUCCCUCUGGUCUUCUGACUUUUGGAAUGAGUCCAGCUAGAGAUGGCACUGCCACAGAAGCUUAGCCAUGCUGAAAUGACUGAGGAACAUUACAGCCACAGAGAGCUCUCCCUGUAGUUGGAGGUUUGAAGCCUUCCCCAUCAUUUGAUGUGCAGUCGUAAUUAGCCAAAAUCAAAGCAAAAGAAGACAGGCAUCUUUCCAUUUCUAAAGGGGGAGCUAAGAAGUCCCUGAGAGAUUUCACUACCUUGGGUUUUGUGUGACUUGCUUUUGCUCUUGGAAAAAUCAUAGAAUCGUCUCUUUGUCCCUGGUGUUCCAGUGUUUCCUGAGCUUGUGUCCUAGAGUAAGCAUCUCUUUUCAUCGAUACUGGAACCUUCAACUUAAGGAUUUACAUAGACUUCAGCUGUGAUCCCAGAACCAGCAGGUCCUGCAGGAGGGUGAUUCUCCACCCCCAACACAGGGGCAUUUCCUGUGCAGAAGACAGGAAAGAGGGAGAUGAACAGCUUGAUGUAACCCAGAUUCUCGAGGGAAGGGCAACCACACUGGGAUCAUUCGCCCUUUCGCCUCCAAGGUGGAUUUCUUCCAAAAGGCACCCAGGCACUGGCCCAGCUGCCCUCCAUCCAGCUCUUGGCAGCAGAGAGGAGCAAGGCCUUUUCUGGAGGUCGACCUGAUGGUGGCGUGGGGAAACCUGGAGAACAGAUCUGGCCCCCAGCUGGUGGGGAGCACAGUGGCGACCCCCUGCCCACUCUGUCCUGGGAACGUUGAUAGGGGCUUUACCUGCGGAUGGGUGCAGUUCAGAGUAGGGCAGCAAGCCCAGCUGGACUGUAGCCAGCCUGCAUGUCCGGAGAGAGGGUCAGAGCCUGGAGAAUGGGAAUUCGUUAAGGUGGUACUGUGAGAGGAACGGCAUCAGGGUGCUCAGAUUCAGGGGUGCCUGACGCUCCCACUGCCAGAGAUUGCUCCUCCCGGCCACACGGGCAAGGGUGGAAACAUGUCUUCCUGUUCUGCUUGCCUUUUCUUUCCAUUGUUUUCGGUAUGCCGUGGGACUUAAAUUUCUCGUUUAUUUGUAUAUAUAGGCUAUAUGCGUGGGCGUGCACGUCACUCAUGUGGUUCCUUCCCUUCACCGUGUCGGUCCCGGGGAUUGAAGUCAGGUUGUCAAGGUUCCUUUACCUGCUGAGUCCUCUCAGCAGCCCGGGUCUUACAAGAGCUAUGCAAGCACUCCACCCCAGCCCAUCUGCACAUUUGCUUAUUUCAAAAUAAAUAAAUAAAACAAUUGAGACAGGGUCUCAUGUAGCCGAGGUUAGCCUUGACCCUGCUUUGUAUGCAGCUGAAGAUAACCUGAAAUUACCUCCUCCAUGUUAGGAUCACACAUACAUACACACACACACACACACACACACACACACACACAGCAGCCCACUCCAGUUUAUUCUGUGUUGUGGACAGUACUCAGAGCAUCACACCUUCUAGGAAAGCCAUCAUUCAGCCUCUUGAGCUUAAAAAAAACAAAAACAAAAGCCCACAUUUACAUUUUAGCAGCAUCCUAUAUUUUUUUCCACUCACAAUUUGUUUCCACUUUUGUUACACUUUUAAAAAUCCUUGCCUAACUCAAAGCCAAAACUGUCUACCAUGUUAACCCUAAAAUUGUAUAUAUUUAUUUUUAGACCAAAGAUAUAGAGCAGCAGUCCCAGCUAGGGGCAAGGGGGUCACAUGUGCCCAGAACUUGUGGGCGGGUCAGGACAGCAGAGCAGAAGGCCUGUCCUUAACAGAGAGUGGAGGGGCUGGAGCCCAGCGGUUCAGAACUGGCUGCGCUGGCAGAGGCCGGGCUCCCAGCACCCACACCAGGUGGUUUGAAACCAACUGGAGCUCCAGGUGCAGGGGAGCCAGCACCACCUCUUUACCUUUUUACCUUUUUACCUCAAACACACAAACCUAUGUAUAAACAAAACUAAAUAUUUUCUAAAUAGCAAACUCAUGUAGGGUCUAUUUUGAGCUAGUACUUCUAUGUUGGAGGAGCCUUCACCACACAUUCCCACCAGCACACAGAGCUUAGACACCCUGCAUUGAGACCUCAGAAACAGCGAGCCAAGGAAAACCUUUCCUCUGUUUAGGUUGUUUACCUCAAGUGUGUCUACAGAGUAACAGGCUGAAUCACUUGGGUUGACAACCUUGCAAAAGCUAACAGACAGGAGUGAGUCCGUGGGCUCCACCGGGUCUGUCUGUCCUUCAUCCCACCAAUACCACACUGCUUGCAUCGCUAUUGCUCCAUAAUAUAUUUUGGGGGAUGUUAUUAUUGUUCUUAUUGUUUUGUGUGCUUGGUCUCUUUGUUUUGUUUUUUAAAGCAGAGCCUCCCUGUGUAACCCUGAAUGGCCUGUAACUUUUAUGUAACACCUGCCUCUGCCUCCGGAGUGCUGGGACUAAGUGAAUGCCAGCUACAACAUGCUCCAAAAUAUACCAUGUCUUUCAAAUUCGGUGGGGUUUGUUUAGGCUACUGUGCUGGCUAGUUUUAUGUCUGCUUGACACAAGCUACAGUCAGCUGGAGGAAGGAACCUCAGUUGAGAAAAUGCCUCUAUAAGAUCUGCCUCUAAAGCAUUUUCUAAAUUAGUGAUCCAUAGGGGAGGGCCCGCCCACUGUGGGCAGUGCCAUCCCUGGGCUGGUGGUCCUGAGGUCUGUAAGAAAGCAGCUGAGCAAGCCUCCACGAGCAAGCCAGUAAGCAGCACUGUGGUCUCUGCCUCUAGGUUCCUGCCCUGUUAGAGUUCCUGUCCUGAUUUCCUUUGAUAAUAAACUGUGAUGUGAUGACAAAUAAAUUCUUC